CAGUGGCSAAGGCGACUAUCUGGYCUGUAACUGACACUGAGGCGMGAAAGCGKGGGGAGCAAACRGGAUUAGAUACCCUGGUAGUCCACGCCGUAAACGAUGAGUGCUAAGUGUURGGGGGUUUCCGCCCCUUAGUGCUGCAGCUAACGCAUUAAGCACUCCGCCUGGGGAGUACGGUCGCAAGACUGAAACUCAAAGGAAUUGACGGGGGCCCGCACMAGCGGKGGAGCAUGUGGUUUAAUUCGAAGCAACGCGAAGAACCUUACCAGGUCUUGACAUCCCGUUGACCACUGUAGAGAUAUGGUUUUCCCUUCGGGGACAACGGUGACAGGUGGUGCAUGGUUGUCGUCAGCUCGUGUCGKGAGAUGUUGGGUUAAGUCCCGCAACGAGCGCAACCCUUGAUCUUAGUKGCCAUCAUUUAGUUGGGCACUCUAAGGUGACUGCCGGUGACAAACCGGAGGAAGGUGGGGAUGACGUCAAAUCAUCAUGCCCCUUAUGACCUGGGCUACACACGUGCUACAAUGGACGAUACAAACGGUUGCCAACUCGCGAGAGGGAGCUAAUCCGAUAAAGUCGUUCUCAGUUCGGAUUGUAGGCUGCAACUCGCCUACAUGAAGCCGGAAUCGCUAGUAAWUCGCGGAUCAKCAUGCCGCGGUGAAUACGUUCCC
rnacentral:rRNA from 1 species